CCUACGGGAGGCAGCAGUGGGGAAUAUUGGACAAUGGGCGCAAGCCUGAUCCAGCAAUGCCGCGUGAGUGAUGAAGGCCUUAGGGUCGUAAAGCUCUUUUACCAGGGAUGAUAAUGACAGUACCUGGAGAAUAAGCUCCGGCUAACUCCGUGCCAGCAGCCGCGGUAAUACGGAGGGAGCUAGCGUUGUUCGGAAUUACUGGGCGUAAAGCGUACGUAGGCGGUUAUUCAAGUCAGAGGUGAAAGCCCGGGGCUCAACCCCGGAACGGCCUUUGAAACUAGGUAGCUAGAAUCUUGGAGAGGUCAGUGGAAUUCCGAGUGUAGAGGUGAAAUUCGUAGAUAUUCGGAAGAACAUCAGUGGCGAAGGCGACUGACUGGACAAGUAUUGACGCUGAGGUACGAAAGCGUGGGGAGCAAACAGGAUUAGAUACCCUGGUAGUCCACGCCGUAAACGAUGAUAACUAGCUGUUCGGGCACUUGGUGCUUGAGUGGCGCAGCUAACGCAUUAAGUUAUCCGCCUGGGGAGUACGGUCGCAAGAUUAAAACUUAAAAGGAAAUUAGAACGG
rnacentral:rRNA from 1 species